rnacentral:rRNA from 1 species
GUAGGUGGCAAGCGUUGUCCGGAAUUACUGGGCGUAAAGCGCGCGCAGGCGGUUCUUUAAGUCUGAUGUGAAAGCCCACGGGCUCAACCGUGGAGGGUCAUUGGAAACUGGAGAACUUGAGUACAGAAGAGGAAAGCGGAAUUCCACGUGUAGCGGUGAAAUGCGUAGAGAUGUGGAGGACACCAGUGGCGAAGGCGGCUUUCUGGUCUGUAACUGACGCUGAGGCGCGAAAGCGUGGGGAGCAAACAGGAUUAGAUACCCUGGUAGUCCACGCCGUAAACGAUGAGUGCUAAGUGUUAGGGGGUUUCCGCCCCUUAGUGCUGCAGCUAACGCAUUAAGCACUCCGCCUGGGGAGUACGGCCGCAAGGCUG